AUACUUACCUGGCAGGGGAAAUACCAUGAUCACGAAGGUGGUUUUCCCAGGGCGAGGCUUAUCCAUUGCACUCUGGAUGUGCUGACCCCUGCAAUUUCCCCAAAUGUGGGAAACUCGACUGCAUAAUUUGUGGUAGUGGGGGAGUGCAUUCGCCCUUUCCCCUG
ensembl:snRNA U1 U1 spliceosomal RNA